rnacentral:rRNA from 1 species
CAUGCAAGUCGAGGGGCAGCAUGGUCUUAGCUUGCUAAGGCUGAUGGCGACCGGCGCACGGGUGAGUAACACGUAUCCAACCUGCCGUCUACUCUUGGCCAGCCUUCUGAAAGGAAGAUUAAUCCAGGAUGGGAUCAUGAGUUCACAUGUCCGCAUGAUUAAAGGUAUUUUCCGGUAGACGAUGGGGAUGCGUUCCAUUAGAUAGUAGGCGGGGUAACGGCCCACCUAGUCAACGAUGGAUAGGGGUUCUGAGAGGAAGGUCCCCCACAUUGGAACUGAGACACGGUCCAAACUCCUACGGGAGGCAGCAGUGAGGAAUAUUGGUCAAUGGGCGAUGGCCUGAACCAGCCAAGUAGCGUAAAGGAUGACCGCCCUAUGGGUUGUAAACUUCUUUUAUAAAGGAAUAAAGUCGGGUAUGCAUACCCGUUUGCAUGUACUUUAUGAAUAAGGAUCGGCUAACUCCGUGCCAGCAGCCGCGGUAAUACGGAGGAUCCGAGCGUUAUCCGGAUUUAUUGGGUUUAAAGGGAGCGUAGAUGGAUGUUUAAGUCAGUUGUGAAAGUUUGCGGCUCAACCGUAAAAUUGCAGUUGAUACUGGAUGUCUUGAGUGCAGUUGAGGCAGGCGGAAUUCGUGGUGUAGCGGUGAAAUGCUUAGAUAUCACGAAGAACUCCGAUUGCGAAGGCAGCCUGCUAAGCUGCAACUGACAUUGAGGCUCGAAAGUGUGGGUAUCAAACAGGAUUAGAUACCCUGGUAGUCCACACGGUAAACGAUGAAUACUCGCUGUUUGCGAUAUACGGCAAGCGGCCAAGCGAAAGCGUUAAGUAUUCCACCUGGGGAGUACGCCGGCAACGGUGAAACUCAAAGGAAUUGACGGGGG